rnacentral:ncRNA from 2 species
GCAGCCAGUGGUGAUGGAUCCCGCCCGGACUUCGUGUCCAAACCGCAUAACGCUGAUGGUUCCUACUCAAUC